rnacentral:rRNA from 1 species
GACGAACGCUGGCGGCGUGCCUAAUACAUGCAAGUAGAACGCUGAAGGAGGAGCUUGCUCUUCUGGAUGAGUUGCGAACGGGUGAGUAACGCGUAGGUAACCUGCCUGGUAGCGGGGGAUAACUAUUGGAAACGAUAGCUAAUACCGCAUAAGAGUAGAUGUUGCAUGACAUUUGCUUAAAAGGUGCAAUUGCAUCACUACCAGAUGGACCUGCGUUGUAUUAGCUAGUUGGUGGGGUAACGGCUCACCAAGGCGACGAUACAUAGCCGACCUGGGAGGGUGAUCGGCCACACUGGGACUGAGACACGGCCCAGACUCCUACGGGAGGCAGCAGUAGGGAAUCUUCGGCAAUGGACGGAAGUCUGACCGAGCAACGCCGCGGGAGUGAAGAAGGGUUUCGGAUCGUAAAGCUCUGUUGUAAGAGAAGAACGAGUGUGAGAGUGGAAAGUUCACACUGUGACGGUAUCUUACCAGAAAGGGACGGCUAACUACGUG